GACGAACGCUGGCGGCGUGCUUAACACAUGCAAGUCGAACGGAAAGGCCCUGCUUUUGUGGGGUGCUCGAGCGGCGAACGGGUGAGUAACACGUGAGUAACCUGCCCUUGACUUUGGGAUAACUUCAGGAAACUGGGGCUAAUACCGGAUAGGAGCUCCUGCUGCAUGGUGGGGGUUGGAAAGUUUCGGCGGUUGGGGAUGGACUCGCGGCUUAUCAGCUUGUUGGUGGGGUAGUGGCUUACCAAGGCUUUGACGGGUAGCCGGCCUGAGAGGGUGACCGGCCACAUUGGGACUGAGAUACGGCCCAGACUCCUACGGGAGGCAGCAGUGGGGAAUAUUGCACAAUGGGCGGAAGCCUGAUGCAGCAACGCCGCGUGCGGGAUGACGGCCUUCGGGUUGUAAACCGCUUUCGCCUGUGACGAAGCGUGAGUGACGGUAAUGGGUAAAGAAGCACCGGCUAACUACGUGCCAGCAGCCGCGGUGAUACGUAGGGUGCGAGCGUUGUCCGGAUUUAUUGGGCGUAAAGGGCUCGUAGGUGGUUGAUCGCGUCGGAAGUGUAAUCUUGGGGCUUAACCCUGAGCGUGCUUUCGAUACGGGUUGACUUGAGGAAGGUAGGGGAGAAUGGAAUUCCUGGUGGAGCGGUGGAAUGCGCAGAUAUCAGGAGGAACACCAGUGGCGAAGGCGGUUCUCUGGGCCUUUCCUGACGCUGAGGAGCGAAAGCGUGGGGAGCGAACAGGCUUAGAUACCCUGGUAGUCCACGCUGUAAACGGUGGGUACUAGGUGUGGGGUCCAUUCCACGGGUUCCGUGCCGUAGCUAACGCUUUAAGUACCCCGCCUGGGGAGUACGGCCGCAAGGCUAAAACUCAAAGGAAUUGACGGGGCCCCGCACAAGCGGCGGAGCAUGCGGAUUAAUUCGAUGCAACGCGUAGAACCUUACCUGGGUUUGACAUGGAUCGGGAGUGCUCAGAGAUGGGUGUGCCUCUUUUGGGGUCGGUUCACAGGUGGUGCAUGGCUGUCGUCAGCUCGUGUCGUGAGAUGUUGGGUUAAGUCCCGCAACGAGCGCAACCCUUGUUCACUGUUGCCAGCACGUUAUGGUGGGGACUCAGUGGAGACCGCCGGGGUCAACUCGGAGGAAGGUGGGGAUGACGUCAAGUCAUCAUGCCCCUUAUGUCCAGGGCUUCACGCAUGCUACAAUGGCUGGUACAGAGAGUGGCGAGCCUGUGAGGGUGAGCGAAUCUCGGAAAGUCGGUCUCAGUUCGGAUUGGGGUCUGCAACUCGACCUCAUGAAGUCGGAGUCGCUAGUAAUCGCAGAUCAGCAACGCUGCGGUGAAUACGUUCCCGGGGCU
rnacentral:rRNA from 1 species